UGGAAAAUGUAUCACAACCAGCACCAGUCACAAACAGGAAAGAGGUGUGUUUGUCUGUGUGUGAGUGUUUGGCGGGUGCUUUGUGUCCCCACUGGCAGUACAGGAGCCUGAUGAGGUCACAAAUGCAGUAGCAGGGUAGCUAUAAGACCUCCUAGCUACCCUGUGAAUCCAGUCUUCAACUGUAACCUGUUGGUCUCAUUCUAGCCUUUGCAUUCAAACGCGAACCUGCUGGUUUAUUUCACACUCAAAAGUAUAGGCUUGCCAUUGCCCUUUGGAGGUGCAGAUUUUUGCUGUGACAAGAGUUGAAAAGACAGGACAGUAAGCGAAUAAAACAUUUAUGAGAUGAGUAGCAUAUUGACUACUAGUGAAGUCUGUAGAUGGUUUUAUGGGGUAGCUGUCGGGAUCCAGGAGAAAGAAGAUAUGCCACGUGGAUGCACCACCAUGGCUGUUUUCUAGAGCCCCAUUUGGACCUAGUUUGGACCAGUUACACCAUGCAUCUCCAAAGAAGUAUCUGGAGCGGUUCUUUCCAGGACUGUCCAACUUGAGAAUGGUGACAUUAGACUCAAUCUCAGGUUCGUCAGCCCAUGAAACACUGUCUCACAUUGUCCCAGUACUGCGAAGAAAAGCAGAAAAAAUAGCAACGUCUUUACUGUGCUUAGACCGGCCCAGAUUGGUCUAGACCAGAUCAGACUCGUCCAGACCAGAUCAGACAGGUCCAGAGCAGAUCAGACUGGUCCAGACCAGAUCAGACAGGUCCAGACCAGAUCCAGAACAAGAUGAUGCAUGGGACAGCAGCAGUAAGAAUGUACACAUGUUUUGAUAAGCAUCUACUAAUGUUUAUUAAUGUUAUAAUACAAAUGUAUUGUUUUUAAUGCUCCUACCUAAACACAUUAUAAGUACGUUCUUUUGAGACAAAAAAACGAAUAAAGCUGUAUGCAUCAAACCAUAAAUAGCCUAAAA
ensembl:lncRNA